rnacentral:rRNA from 1 species
UACGGAAGGCAGCAGUGGGGAAUAUUGCACAAUGGGCGAAAGCCUGAUGCAGCUAUGCCGCGUGUAUGAAGAAGGCCUUAGGGUUGUAAAGUACUUUCAUCGGGGAGGAAAAAACAAAACUAAUAAUUUUAUUUCUUGACGUUACCCGAAAAAGAAGCACCGGCUAACUCCGUGCCAGCAGCCGCGGUAAUACGGAGGGUGCUAGCGUUAAUCAGAAUUACUGGGCGUAAAGAGCACGUAGGUGGUUUUUUUAAGUCAGAUGUGAAUCCCUGGGCUUAACCUGGAACUGCAUUUUGAAACUGAAAUACUAGAGUAUCGUAGAGGGAGGUAGAAUUCUAGGUGUAGCGGUGAAAUGAGUAGAUAUCUGGAGGAAUACCUGUGGCGAAAGCGGCCUCCUAAACGAAUACUGACACUGAGGUGCGAAAGCGUGGGGAGCAAACAGGGAUUAGAUACCCGU